GAUGAACGCUGGCGGCGUGCCUAAUACAUGCAAGUCGAGCGAAUGGAUUAAGAGCUUGCUCUUAUGAAGUUAGCGGCGGACGGGUGAGUAACACGUGGGUAACCUGCCCAUAAGACUGGGAUAACUCCGGGAAACCGGGGCUAAUACCGGAUAACAUUUUGAACCGCAUGGUUCGAAAUUGAAAGGCGGCUUCGGCUGUCACUUAUGGAUGGACCCGCGUCGCAUUAGCUAGUUGGUGAGGUAACGGCUCACCAAGGCAACGAUGCGUAGCCGACCUGAGAGGGUGAUCGGCCAAACUGGGACUGAGACACGGCCCAGACUCCUACGGGAAGCAGCAGUAGGGAAUCUUCCGCAAUGGACGAAAGUCUGACGUAGCAACGCCGCGUGAGUGAUGAAGGCUUUCGGGUCGUAAAACUCUGUUGUUAGGGAAGAACAAGUGCUAGUUGAAUAAGCUGGCACCUUGACGGUACCUAACCAGAAAGCCACGGCUAACUACGUGCCAGCCGCCGCUGUAA
rnacentral:rRNA from 1 species